GGGUGCGGUGGCAUGUGCCUGUAAUCCAAGUCACUGGGACUGAGGUUGGUGGAUCAAGUGAGCUGAGGAGCUCUGGGCUGCAGCACGCUAUGUCGAACGGGUGUCCACGCUAAGUUCGGUAUCGAUAUGGUGUUCCUGGGGAGCCCGGGACCACCAGGUUGUCUAAGGAGGGGUGAACCGGCCCAGGUCGGAAACGAAGCAGGUCAAAUCCCCCGUGCUGUCCAGUAGUGGGAUAAUACCUGUGAGUAGAUGCUGCAGUGCAGCCUUGGCAAAACAUCGAGACCUAAUCUUUU
rnacentral:SRP_RNA from 1 species